UUUAGGCAUGUUUUCAUUACUUUAGCCCUCAAUUAUGACAGAAUCUGAAGCAGGCAAGGCUCCCUAGGACUAUGUGUUAGACAACGACACGUCUUUAAAAAGUGUUAUUAUUUUAAUUUGCAUGUAUUGAGUUGUCGUAUUAAGUUUGUAUCUGCAAUGCUUAUUCUACCACGUAUGUGUUUAUUGCUUUGCAUGACACACUUGUACUUACCAUACCAUAAUAGCCCUGUCUGAGGAUAGUUAGUAAAAGGAGAACCGUAUUUGACCAAAAUAUUUGAAACAGGUAAUGGAAGAUUUCUGAGUACAUGUUUUUUGUGAAUUUGGUAUCAAUUGGAGACUUGGAUUCAUUGAGAUGUUUUGCAGAAUAAAGUGGGAGAGAUCAAUAGUCGUAUGCAAGUUGUAGUGCAGACCAUUCUUCCUCUUGGGUUUAGCAAUGAUCUCAUUUUCAAUACCAUGUAGCAUCUUUUUCAAGUAAUGGUUGUUGUUUUAGAUGUCCCCUAGCUAAAACCCAUUACAGCUUGAAUUGAACAUUUUGCAAUUUUAUUCCAUUUGCAAUAUACCUGUGUUUUGAGGAAUGAGUUCUAGUUUGUGUGUGGGCUGUGUGCGCGCUUAGGUAUAUAGUGAGUAGGAGGGCUGGGCAGUUGUUGAAGAAGAAUCAUACAAACUUGUUGAAACUGGAAGGCAUUUUGGGUAAAGAUGAACCUUGCUCUCCCAAAGUUAAUAGCUUCGUAUCUUUUCCCUUGGAAGUUGUCUCUUGAAAGUACAAACCUAUGAUGAAGUUAAUUUUUUUUGUUCCAAA